rnacentral:rRNA from 1 species
GACGAACCGUGCGAACGUUGUUCGGAAUCACUGGGCUUAAAGGGCGCGUAGGCGGGCCGGCCGGUCGGAGGUGAAAGCCCCCAGCUCAACUGGGGAAGCGCCCCCGAUACCGCCGGCCUGGAGGGGGCUAGGGGCGUGCGGGAAGCUUCCGGUGGAGCGGUGAAAGUGCGUAGAUAUCGGAAGGAACACCGGUGGCGAAGGCGGCACGCUGGGCCCGCCCUGACGCUGAGGCGCGAAAGCCAGGGAGCGAACGGG